UUCCCGGUUGAUCCUGCCGGACCCGACUGCUAUUUGGGUGAGGAUAAGCCAUGCGAGUUGAAUGGGAUACCUAAAAAUCCCAUGGCAAACUGCUCAGUAACACAUGAUCAACUUACCCUAUAGAGGAAAAUAACCUCGGGAAACUGAGGAUAAUGUUCCAUAGUUGAAUCGGCUUGGAAAAGUUUUUCAAUAAAAGGGAUAAGAAAAAUGGUUCUUAUCUGCUAUAGGAUAGGAUCGUGCUCGAUUAUGGUUGUUGGUGAGGUAACGGCUCACCAAGCCGAUAAUCGAUAGGGGCCGUGAGAGCGGGAGCCCCGAGAUGGGUACUGAGACAACGACCCAGGCCUUACGAGGCGCAGCAGGCGCGAAACCUCCGCAAUACACGAAAGUGUGACGGGGUUACCCAAGGUGUUCUAUUUAGAACUGUGGUAGGUGAGUAAUGUCCCCUACUAGAAAGGAGAGGGCAAGGCUGGUGCCAGCCGCCGCGGUAAAACCAGCUCUUCAAGUGGUCGGGAUAAUUAUUGGGCUUAAAGUGUCCGUAGCCGGUUUAGUAAGUUCCUGGUAAAAUCGGGUAGCUUAACUAUCUAUAUGCUAGGAAUACUGCUAUACUAGAGGGCGGGAGAGGUCUGAGGUACUACAGGGGUAGGGGUGAAAUCUUAUAAUCCUUGUAGGACCACCAGUGGCGAAGGCGUCAGACUGGAACGCGCCUGACGGUGAGGGACGAAAGCCAGGGGAGCGAACCGGAUUAGAUACCCGGGUAGUCCUGGCCGUAAACGAUGCAUACUAGGUGAUGGCACGGCCAUGAGCCGUGUCAGUGCCGUAGGGAAACCGUUAAGUGUGCCGCCUGGGAAGUACGGUCGCAAGGCUAAAACUUAAAGGAAUUGGCGGGGGAGCACCACAAGGGGUGAAGCCUGCGGUUCAAUUGGACUCAACGCCGG
rnacentral:rRNA from 1 species